CCCCUGUGAUGAGUUGCCAUGCUAAUACCGAGGCACCAGGACAGGAGUUUUACCCUGCCUGGGUGCUACUGAAGUAAACUGUACUUCUCGUUAGUCUGCCUGAGGGGC
ensembl:snoRNA